GGUAAGGGAAGUCGGCAAAGUAGAUCCGUAACUUCGGGAAAAGGAUUGGCUCUGAGGGUUGGGCACAGAGGUCCUCGUCUUGAUGUCUGAGCUGGGGCAGAAGCUACUUGACGCCUCUGGUGGAGAGUGGAAUCUUGCAUGGCGAAGACUGCCGGACAUGGAAUGCUCUUCGGGGCGUUCCCCGUGCAGCGAACAACCAUCUCAGAUCUGGAGAAGACAAGGGUGUUGUCUGAACAUUCAAAGGUCCGUGCAUCAGCUGAAGCAGACUAGCAGUGUACCACGACUUGAAUAUAAUGCAGUUGGUCGCCACUAUCAUUAUU
rnacentral:ncRNA from 1 species